rnacentral:rRNA from 1 species
UGAACGCUAGCGGCGUGCCUAAUGCAUGCAAGUCGAACGGGAACCUUUGGACUCGUCUGAAGGUGAGAGUGGCGAACGGGUGAGUAACACGUAGGUGACCUACCCCAGAGAGGUGGACAACCAGUGGAAACGCUGGCUAAUACCCCGGAUGUCAAUCUGGUUAGAGUGGAUUGACUAAAGCUCCGGCGCUCUGGGAGGGGCCUGCGUCCCAUCAGCUAGUUGGUGAGGUAAUGGCUCACCAAGGCAAAGACGGGUAGGGGGCGUGAGAGCGUGACCCCCCACACUGGUACUGACACACGGACCAGAUACCUACGGGUAGCAGCAGCAAGGAAUAUUGCGCAAUGGGCGAAAGCCUGACGCAGCAACGCCGCGUGAAGGAUGAAGGCCUUCGGGUUGUAAACUUCUUUUCUGGGGGAAGAGAAAGGACGGUACCCCAGGAAUAAGGCCCGGCUAACUAC